GACGAACGCUGGCGGCGUGCUUAACACAUGCAAGUCGAACGAUGAAGAAAAGAAUCGAAGCUUCGGCAGAAAUUCAUUUCGGAUUAGUGGCAGACGGGUGAGUAACGCGUGAGCAACCUACCUCUUACAAAGGGAUAGCCUCGGGAAACCGGGAUUAAUACCAUAUAACAUUGCGACGAAGCAUUUCGAUGCAAUCAAAGCUACGGCGGUAAGAGAUGGGCUCGCGUCCCAUUAACCGGAUGGUGAGGUAACGGCUCACCAUAGUGACGAUGGGUAACCGGCCUGAGAGGGGGAACGGUCACACUGGGACUGGGCCACGGUCCAGACUCCUACGGGAGGCAGCAGUGGGGAAUAAUGCACAAUGGAGGGAACUCUGAUGCAGCGACGCCGCGUGAGUGAUGAAGGAAUUCGUUUCGUAAAACUCUGUUCUAUGGGAAGAAAAGGACUGUACCAUAGGAGAAAGCUCCGGCUAAAUACGU
rnacentral:rRNA from 1 species